GAGCCCCCCAAGCUCCAGGGCCCCCAUAAGACAAUUUUGCGUUUAAGAAUGCAAGAAGAGUAAUGUAAAUGCAAAUCGAAAUUAGUUAUACAAACUUUAAUGUUAAUUUUAUAAAUUUUAUUUGAAGUACUUUCUUUUAUGUCAGGGGCCCUUUUUCGAGCUCACCUCGGACCCUCGAAAUCUCAGAGCCGGCCCUGUGGAAAGGCCAUAUUGCAAUUAUUCUAAAUCUAAAAUUGCAAUUAUUAAUGAUGCUUCGAAAGGCAGAGCCGACCCUGGGCCUAGGCCCCCCAAGGUCCAGGGCCCCCAUAUGCCGGUUGCGUCUAAAAAUGCAAGAAUGUUUACUUGAAUAUUAAUCUAAAUUAGUUAUACAAGCUUUAAUGUUAAUUAUAUAAAUUUUAUUUGAAGUACUUUCUUUUAUGUCAGGGGCCCUUUUCCGAGCUCACCUCGGACCCCCGAAACUUCAGAGCCGGCCCUGCUAAGCCAUAUUGCAAUUAUUCUAAAUCCAAAAGUGCAAUUAUUAAUGAUGCUUUGAAAGGCAGGGCUGGCCCUGGGCCUAGGCCCCCAAGGCCCAGGACCCCCAUAAGACGAUUCUACGUCUAAGAAUGCAAUAAGUGUAAUGUUUACUUGAAUAUUAAUCUAAAUUAGUUGUACAAGCUUUAUAAAUUUUAUUUGAGUUACUUUUUUUUUACGUCAGGGCCCCCUUUUCGGAGCUCUCCCCGGACCCCCGAAAUCUCAGGGCCGGCCUUGCCAUUUUAAUUCUGCAAUUCUUAAUUAUAAUACACCCAAUUUGUAUUAUUUCAACUGAGUUACAAAUAAAUCAACAACAAUCAAAGGUUGAUGAUAUUAAAAAUUAUUAAUAAAUUUUCAAUAAAUAAAGCAUUAAAAGAGACAGUACUCCUCCUAGUCUUCCAUUAUUUGUUUGCUGUGUUCUUUGAAAAAAAGUGACUCAAUUUUUCUUUGGGUAGAUAUCUGAUGUCGAAUGUACCCCUUCAAGAAUUGCUGUGACAUUACUGGAAUAGCGAUUGAAGGUAUACUCGAGCGAGAGAUAGGAAAAGUGAACGCUCCGACACUCGAGCCAGGCAUAACGUGGUUCAAGAUUGUACGUACCUAACGUACAAUCUGAAUUACUGCAUAUACGUAGCCUUGUUGUACAUGUAAACCAAGUCUCGAUCGCCUGGUGUUGCUAUGGGGACGUUUCUUUUUUUCUUUCUUCCUUUAUCUCUCCCCCUCUUCUCUGUUCUCGUUCGAUGCUCUUCCUUUCCGUGGAUUUCUUGCGGUUCUCCGAGGAAAUCUAUCUCGUCCGCAAAACGUUUCUGCGUCCAUCACCGAUGCCUAUAGCGCUAGAUCUACCAAGGGGGGUCAAAAUGACUUAUUUGGCAUUUCUUAUAAUCACUAUUCAUUUUCACUACAUUUUGUUUUCUAAAAUAUUAUUUUGUAAUAUUUUUUUUUAUGCAGUAUACCUCCAUACACCGAGAUGGGUCAUUUUGAUCCCCCAUGGAACGUAGGUAAACUUGUGAUUUUGGGGGGAAACUUCCGAAAGGCCCCCCCACCCUAGGACAACCAAACUUCGGAUUUAUAGUAAUUGAGGGACGAGAAAUCGAAUGAGAUCAUUUUCAGAACUGGCAAAUAAACCUUUCUCGAGGUAUACAGAGUAUUCUAAAAGUGUGGGACCCCCCCUAUUAUCUCGAUAAGAACGCAUUUCCACGGAAAAUGACUAUCCUAACCUAACAGUAACCCUAACCUAACCCUAACCUAAACCUAAACUAACCCUAACCUAAACCUAAAUUAACCCUAACCUAAAGUUUCCCCCAAAAUUACCAUAGGAGACAUAAUGACUAAUUAAUUCGAAAAACAAGCCAUUUUGACCCCACACAUCAAUCACCGGUGAUUCUAGGGUUAAGAAGCGCCCGACAAUGAAGAGGAAUCCCUAUAGUUAGCCCUAUGGUUUGAAUAUCUAUCUAAUAAUUCAUUACUUUUGUAACCUUAUAACAUUGAUGUGUAACAUUGGAAUCAUUGUUUCACAGGGUAAGAACCUAUCUCAUUUCAAUGGAGACGCAACGCUUGAUGCGCAAGCGAACGACUUAAGAAUCCUUUUUCAUGAUUGCAAUAAACUUCAAGAGGGCACUUUGACGUCUUGAAAGCCAUUGGAGUUUUAGACUGAACAAUGAUAUUCUUCUGUGGAAAACAUUAGCGGUCUCAGGAGCAUUUGCUGAACAGCUUGUGUAUUGUUCAUACUGUAACCAGGAACAAUGGAUAUUCGCCAGGACAUGUGUCGUACCUUGUGUACACCGGACGUUCCGACCGCUCUGUCAACGUCUGUUAACCACCAGUAUGACAAGAGAGCUAUUUCAGUGAAGUUUUAUUGAUAGAUAGACAAUUUAAGCCUUGCCUAGAUAUUUAUAUGGUCCACCAGAACAUCCCAGGUGCUUCAUGUAUGAUUAGAUAAAAGGAUACGAAGGAUUCCUACUUUACCAUCUUGUGAUUAAAAAAUGAAGGAAAAGGAGAUUUGAAAAAAAAAAAAAAAUCUUUGCAAGUGCGUACGUCCCUGGGAUAUCCAAUUAGCGCAACUAUACUUCUUUCUUUAUUAAAUUUAAAUUCCUUUAUUAUUUUAGAACAUCCCAGGUGAUUUAUGCAUGAUUAGAUAAAAGGAUAUGAAAGUUCCCUGCUUUACCAUCUUGUGAUUGAAAAAUGAAGGAAAAGGAGAUUUGAAGAAAAAGAAAAUAUCGUCGCAAGUGCGUUCGUCCCUGGGAUAUGCAGUUCAUUCACACGGCUGUGUUUCGCUAAAUAUAAUAUGGCGGUGACCCCGGUCCUUCACUGUCGACUCCCCUUCCCCAUCCCUCGAUUCCCCACUCCUCCCUUCAAUGCUUCCCUAAUUCAACGCCUCUGUGAUUACGUCCCUGCCCUCGCAUCCCCUGUCCGGGGUACCGUCCCUACCUUCGACUCCGCUUCUAUUCCCUUCUCUUCCUCUUCUUUUCUCUUUACUUCUGCCUCCUUUCUUUCCACCCCACCGCCACCCGCUUCGCCGGCUAGCUUUCUAUUCUCUGUUCUUGGUUGCCGUGGAAGAAAAACUGACAAUGAGCAAGAAGAGGCUUCUCUGAUCCUCUAUCUUUCUUGAUACUUUUCUGCCUGCUCCAAUUUUAUCGUAUCCCACCAUGAUUGGCAGAGGUGCUUCCCUUAAGACCUUAUCGUUAGAUUUGAUUAGCAGUAUGAUUGCUCUUUUAUUUUUUCUUAUUAUUAGUUUAAGGAGAAAGGAGAAAGUUCCAUAUUCCUCCUAGGUUUUCCCAAAAUUUAAAAUAAGUAGUGGGAGAAAUGAAAGUCCACAUUGGAUCCUAAUGUUUAUAACAAUUGUUAAAAAGAUUACUUUUAAUUGAUAAUGUUUGAUCAGUGGUUCCUAAAGAUACUUUUAUUUCUUAUGGUAGGAAGAGGCCGAGGGUUUUGGGAGAAGAGGAUUGCCAGAGGAUCUCGAGGUGCAGGAAAGAGUGCAGCUUUACGUGUAGCGUACAGAAUUCUGGCUCGACUGCUCCUGCAUCCAGGCCCUUCACCGCCUUUUAGACCUUAAGUUGCAUUCACACUGAACAAUUGAAACAUCUUUGUGCGCUUUGAAAAUUUCAUUUCAAGGUGUUGGCUUUAUCUAAAAGGCUAAAGAAUACUUCCAGGCAGAUAGAUGGAAGGAGCAGAGGCAAUCUAAUCGUAGAGCAUAAUCGGUCAGUUGGAAACGGUGCCUAACAUCCCUUAGGGCCGCGCAAGGAGAGCUGCAGAGGCCAUUCAACUGUCUACGAUCGAGCAGGCAGGGGAUUUUUACAGCGGCCGGAGUCUACCUACUCUCUGAGCUCUCGUAUUCUUCUUGCUCUUCUUCUCUCGCCGUAUCCUCCUCUACUUCUUCCUCUUCUCCUUCUUGUUUUCUUGUACAGCUUCCUUUUUCUAUGCCCUCCUGAUCUCUCUACCCUGCAAUGGCGUGGCGAGUCAGGGACCGUGCGUGAGAAAGUCCAGUCAAAGAUCCUCCAAAUUAUGCUGAAUUUCUAGCCAAUAAUUGCACCGAUCAUUUAGCUGAAGAUGUUCUUCGGUCACGCGUUCGAAGGAAUGAAAUUUUUUAGAACCUUGAGGAUUAAUCAUUCAUUAACACUAGAUUGCCAGGCUCAUAUCCAUCAAAAUAGAUAUAGCACAUAUGGAUUUUUGGUACUAAGGAGUGUACCAUUAAGAACCAACAUAUGUUCCAAAAAAGAUUAUUUCAGUUUUAUAGCACUAAAAUUGUAAAUGAGUCAAAUUCACUCGCUCUGGCAAUCUAAUGUUAAUUGUAUAUUGUAGGAAUCUGAAAAAUUAAUAAAUCAUUGGCAUAACUAGGAUUUCUUUUGAGGUGUGCCAUUUUAGAGUUUGGAAGUAGUAGGAGCAUCCAGGCCCACUCUGUCCCUUACCUAAUUACUCCAAUGAUGAAAAUAUUAAUUACGAAUUUCAUAUCGUUUCUUUUUCUCCAUUUUCAGGUGAAGUAUUCCUGAAAGAUGAGAAAGGAAACGGGAUCAUCAACGAAGCGAAAGCGGUUAUCAGCUAUACUUGAUGAUACUAACCCGUAGAUCCGAACUUGUGGGCUUUUUUAUAUGUAUACCGCAAGCUCCUAUCUACCGGUACAUGUAGUCAGGCCAGCAUUUAAGCUUUUCGACGGAACCUCCUCCUUCUCAUUCGAGCCUCUAUGCAAUCCGCGAGUAGAGGUACUUCCGGUUAUCAAGACUUUUUGCCAAGUAAUAUUCUGAAUAGAAGAGUUACAUCAGGAAGGGGGAGAGAAUGAGACGAUGCGCGAGAGAAUAAGAAUUAAAAAUUUAAGUAUAGUAUACAAAAAUAAAUGUAACACCAUUACGAUACUAGGCGCCCAUACUAGAACAAAGCGAUUGAUUUGCAGUGGGUCACAAUAUAGCAAUUAAAAGUAGUGUUUAAUAAACACUCACAGUGCCCACUAUGAUCGGUUUGCAAAGAAUGGUCCAAAUUGAUAAUCUAGUUUUUUGAGUUAAAAAGUCACCAAAAAAUCCCUAUCAGUCGUUUAAUAGAGGAGCCUCGCUCCAACAACGUUAUUGUUAAUGUUCGAUAGCUGUUAAAAGCAGGAACGGAAGCGAGAAUUAAGAAGAGGAAACGAGCAGCAUUAGCGACGACGCCUGGGUGAGGUAGUAGGUUGUAUAGUAGGGAAUGGAAAUUCGCGUGAUACGAAGUCCACUGUACAACUUGCUAACUUUCCCGGUCGUCGACGCCGCAACGUUUCAUCGGUUCAACGUUUUUAUCUUCAAGAAGAUUCAGAAGAUUCUCUGACGAAGAUACCGAAGUUCUAUUAGUGCGUAACGCGCGUAUUUGCAGUGUGAAUACAGUAUUAAAUAAAGAAGAUGAUCUGCUACCAGAAACGAUGCUUGUAAAAUAAGUUUAUAAUAAGAAGAAAUUAAAGUGGUUGUAUCAAGCAUAAAUUGUUUUAAAAUUGAACAGAUGAUGCCUUUAAAUUAUCUUAAAUAGCUGAAGUGUCAUAGAGGAAUAUAAAAUAAUAAUAGAGACAGUAUAUUGCUUGCAACCAUCUUAAAUUAAUAAAUAAUUUUAUAUUUUCUUUUCUGUUAAAUUGCAAGGAAAUGAAUGGUGGUAGAUCCUCUUAAGACGAGAGUGUGUACUUCUAUACGUCUAUGUGUGCAAUAGGUACACGGGUAAGGGAUGAAAAGGGGUAGAGAAAAUGAAAUGGGCAAUGGCGGGCGGGCUGAUUGUAAAGCCUGCCGCGUCGCCGGUCCCCUGAGACCCUAACUUGUGACGUCGCGACCGAUAUCUCACAGGCUAGAUUCUCUGGUAUUGGCGAUGAGUGCUGCCUUUUGCCGAUCAAAAGUCAGUCCUAGUCAUCAGAGAUAGAAAACGUCCGGAUACGUCGACGCCCUAUAAAAACGAGGAGAGACUCUGACAUUCAAACGUCUACUGCAUGACGCAUCUUGGAAAAACGUAGUUUAUCUGUGAAUAUAUAAUGUACAUCAAUAUUGUAACGCACUGAUGCAACAUUAUUUAUAAAUUUAUUUGUCAACAGCAGUGGCGGUUCGUAGCUAAAAUUAGUGAGAAAAUUUUUUAGCCUUUGUUUUAAAAAACCGGCAUUGCGGGAGCGACCGUGCUCUCUCUCCUGCGCAGCCUAGUACGCAGCUUCCCAUGUGAGCAUGCGCGUGCGCAUGCGCACACGGUCAAACACCACGCCGCUGGAACUAGGAAGCGCAUAGUUACGUACAAAGAUUUUUGUAUCUUUUUCAUAAACUGGGGGAUGGCUACUGACAUUAAGCUUAAGGAUUAUAUAUUGUACAAGUAUAAAGAAAAAAUUAAAAAA